CGAACGCUGGCGGCAGGCUUAACACAUGCAAGUCGAGCGAGACCUUCGGGUCUAGCGGCGGCCGGGUGAGUAACGCGUGGGAACGUGCCCUUCUCUACGGAAUAGCCCCGGGAAACUGGGAGUAAUACCGUAUACGCCCUUUGGGGGAAAGAUUUAUCGGAGAAGGAUCGGCCCGCGUUGGAUUAGGUAGUUGGUGGGGUAAUGGCCCACCAAGCCGACGAUCCAUAGCUGGUUUGAGAGGAUGAUCAGCCACACUGGGACUGAGACACGGCCCAGACUCCUACGGGAGGCAGCAGUGGGGAAUCUUAGACAAUGGGGGCAACCCUGAUCUAGCCAUGCCGCGUGAGUGAUGAAGGCCUUAGGGUUGUAAAGCUCUUUCAGCUGGGAAGAUAAUGACGGUACCAGCAGAAGAAGCCCCGGCUAACUCCGUG
rnacentral:rRNA from 1 species